rnacentral:lncRNA from 1 species
UUUUUUUUUUUUUUUUUUGAGUAGUAGACUCUCACUCUGUCACCCAGGCUGUAGGGCAGUGGUGCGAUCUCAGCUCACUGCAAUCUCCACCUCCCAGGUUCAAGGGAUUCUCCUGCCUCAGCCUCCCAAGUAGCUGGGAUGACAGACUAAAUCUGUAGCCUGCCGAGUAGCGUGCCUGCCACCACACCCAGCUAAUUUUUGUAUUUUUAGUAGAGAUGGGGUUUCACCAUGUUGGUCAGGCUAGUCUGGAACUCCUGACCUCAAGUGAUCCACUCUCAUUGGCCUCCCAAAGUGCUGGGAUUACAGGCAGGAGCCACCAGGGCUGCCACUUUGAUCUAAGACUCAGAGAGUAUAGAUGGGAUAAGGUGGGGGUGGGAACAGGUAGUCAAGGCUGACUCUACCUCAAAGGUAGGGUAGAGAAGAUGACUACCAUCUUCUUCAAAGAUGCCUUGAAGAACUGGGCAGGAGAGUCCCUCACAGAUGGCUGCCUGGGCGGGACCCCACCAAACUGAAAGAGCGAGACUUCAGGUAGGGCAGAUGGAGUAGGCCACCCACAGAGCCAGAGGUGACACUGUGAGAGCACUGGGCCUGGAAGUCAGGGCAUCAAGCCAAAGAGGGUUUUUCUUAAGACCGAACAUAAUUUGCCUUGCCAGGUUUUGGACUUGAUUAGGACACAUUACACCUUCCUUCUUUCCUAUUUCUCCAUUUUCUAAUGGGAAUGUCUAUCAUGCCUGUUUCACCAUUGUACCUCAGAAGCAUGUAACAUUUCUGGUUUCACAGGUUCAAAGCUGGAAAGGAAUUUUGUCUCUGGAUGAAUCGCACAUUGAGUCUCACCCAUAACCUGAUUUAGAUGAUUUUUUAGAUGACACUUUGAACUUUAGAAUUGAUGCUAGAAUGAGUUAAGACUUUCAGGGGGCUGUUGGGAUGGAAUAAUUUUUUUUUUAUUUUUUAUUUUUUAUUUUUUUAAGGAGUCUAGCUCUGUUGCUCAGGCUGGAGUGCAGUGGCGUGAUCUCAGCUCAUUGCAAGCUCCGCCUCCCGGGUUUAUGCCAUUCUCCUGCCUUAUUUAGCCUUGAGUAGCUGGGACUACAGGGGCCCGCCACCAGGCCUGAUUCAUUUUUUUGUGUUUUAGUAGAGACGGGGUUUCACCGUGUUAGCCAGAAUGGUCUCAAUGUCUUGACCUUGUGAUCCACCCGCCUUGGCCUCCCAAAGUGCUGGGAUUACAGGCGUGAGCCACCGUGCCAGGCAAUGGAAUAAAUUUUUUGUAUGGGAGAAGGACACACAUUUUGGCAGGCCAGGGACAGAAUGUUAUGGACUAAAUUGUGUCCCCCAAAAUUCAUUUAUUAAAACUCUAAACCCCAAUGUGACUGUAUUUGGAGAUAGGGCCUUUAGGAGGUACAUAAAACUAAAGGUCAUAGGAUAGGGCCCUAAUCCCACUGGGGCUGGUGUCCUUAUAGAAGGUAAGGAGACACUUAGAGCUCAUUCUCCACUCAGGAAGCAAGGAAACACCAUAUAAACACACAGUGAUGGCAGCUGUUUGUAAGCCAGGAACAGAUUCUCUACACACUAUGUUGGCACCUUGAUCUUAAACUUCCAGGCUCCAAAAGUGUGAGAAAACGAAUUUCCAUUCCAAGCCUCUUAGAUAUGGGAAAAAAUAUUCUGUUGUUUAAGUGAUCCAGUCUCUGGUAUUUUGUUAUGGCAGCCUGAAUAGGCUAAGACAAUGAAGGAUGUGGUAAAACUUUAGGUCCCAACCACAUACCAAAGAGGC